rnacentral:rRNA from 1 species
GGGAAGUAACGAAACCGGAAACGGGUUGCUAAUACCGCAUAAUGCAGCGGCACCUAAUGGUGACAGUUGUUAAAGCGGGGAUCGCAAGACCUCGCGCCUGAAGAGAAGCCUGCGGCGGAUUAGCUUGUUGGUAGGGUAAUGGCCUACCAAGGCGACGAUCCGUAACCGGCCUGAGAGGGCGGUCGGUCACACUGACACUGACAUACGGGUCAG